GCGGCACGUAGGCCAGGCCGGCGGCCACGCGCGCAUGCGGCGCGAGCGCGUCGAGCGCGCGGCCGUCCCAGGCGAUCGUGCCGCC
rnacentral:tRNA from 1 species